ACUAAAUUUUUCUCUCAGUUCUUGUUUCUACAUUUGUGUGUCCAAUUCCCAAAUUUCCUUACUUCAUUCAUCAUUGCUUAAAUUUUCACUUCUAAUUCUUACUAUUUUCCUAUCUUCUAUUAACCCUUUUAUCUAUCCAUUCUGUUUAUUUGCCAUUCUCAUUUUUUCUACUUGUAUGUAUUCUUCCUUUUUUUCAACAUUCCAUAUUUUAUGUAAUUUUUCUUUCCCAUAUAUUGUGCUCCAAUAAUCUUCUAUCUCUGUAGUUACGUUAUCCAUUACAAUUUUCUUAUCAUUAUUGUAAACAUUAUCCAUCACACAGUUUGUUUCCUUUUUAUUUUUCCUGCUUUUAACUUUCUGAUAUAUUUCCAAGCAUUUUUGCCAUGGCUUUUAUCUACCUUUAUUUCUUUUAACUUUACAGUGGACCUUCGGACUUGGAACACCUUGGACUUGGAACAGUUAGGACUUGGAACAAAAAUUUUAACAAUUUUGACCCUCGGAGUUGGAAAUUCAGAUUUGGAACAACCUGAAGACGGCUUAAUCUGGUGAAUCCAGGUAAUGCUAGCACCGAUGGCAGAAGGAUACACAAGAGAAGAUGAGCAGCUGAUUGGGCACUGUGCUGAAGUAUCUAACACACUCAAACUAAGAGUUGCAGAUACAGAAGAAAGUGUGAUAACCACUACACUACAGAGAUGCACUGCACACCGAAUAAUUCCUCUUACCAGUGGGUCAUUUUCUCCCUGAUUGUCAUUCUUAAACUUAUCCUGGGUGGUGGAGGAGACUGUGGCAGCCAGAGUGUCAUAUCCCACAUCUUCAGGACGCAGGGACAGUAAGGCUUGGGGUCCAGCGUGGCUGCUUGGUGGCCAUGGGUAUGUCUCCGUGAUCCAUGUGGUUGGGUCCUGUGGGGAGGUGUUCACAUAACUAGUGGCACCAGUUGAUGCUUAGUCUCUCACUGUGUUUCACUCAUAUUAAUGAUGCUUUUUUUCUUAGCCAUGAAUAAUAAUUGAGAAUUAGUCACUUAGUACUAGAGAGGAUGGUUCUUAGGUCAUAUAGGGAAAAGCCUCAAGACAGAUGGUACUCAGCCUGAAGGGAAGAGGUCUCAGGUUGUUUGGUGUUCAAAACACUUAAGUACCUACUUGAUCCCCAAAAUAUCUGUACAUUAAAAUGUCAUGAAUAUAGCACUAUCUAAUAUAGUGUUCAGCAACACAUCCACAACUUCCUAAAACAUAUCCCCUCAUUCACUAAACCACUUUCAAUCUAUUUACUCACUCAUCCAUAAACAAGCUGGGUGGAUGGAUAAAUGAGUGGAUAUGAUUGAGUAGAUGGAUGGAUGUGUUGAAUAAGUAAUAGAUGGCAUAGUAAACAUUAUAUUGGUGUCCAUGGAUCUACAUGCUGCCCUAAUGAAGCCUGUUGUCAAGACAUGCAGUCCACAUGUCUGAGUCUAGAGACAUUCUGGUGAGCAUGUAAUUAAGGUAGCAAGCGUCCUAAGGUCUAGCUGUACUCAGGGUGAUCUGUCUUGAGAACCAUAUGACCUGAGUAUCACCUACCCCAAUACCAAGUGACUGUAAACCCAAAUAAUUUUCUGAUGUCAUUCUCAUUUUAAGGCAAUAAUAGUCUACAUACCUCCCAAGUAGAUCUUUUUCCAUAGAGCUGAAGUCCUUCCCUGACUGCCUCCACAAGGUAAGGUACCAAGGAGUAGUUCCACAAGUCUGUGAACCAAACCUGUGAACCUUCCAGAGAGCCAGGGCAGGACAGGAAGAGGCGAGGCCCUGAACAAAAAAGCAUAAGUAUAAAGAUUGUUGUAGAAUUGCCAUGAGGUUCUGUUGUAACUUAACACAGAGAACUCAAUGUACUCAGAAGAAUCCUUUAUUGUGGACAUAAUGCAAUUAGAGAAUGUAGUAAAACCUGGCAUAUAAGAAAGAAAAUCCUUACCAAUGGUGACAUCUGAGGAGGAAUGCGUUUCCAGGAAUUUGUUAAUAUGACUCCAGCAGCGUGGCAGCCAGUCCAGGACCUGCUGCAGACGGGGCAGGCGAGAGCCAGCCUCCACCUCCACCUGGGUGAGGCGGCGGCGAGCCACACGCCCCACUAGGCCCUUCACUGGCUCCAUGUGGUUGGCCAUCAGGACCCAUCUGUGUGUGGCACAAGUGACAACUCUGAAGGCAACUGCUCUACUCUCAUACUUUACGGUGAUAUUUGGAAAAAAAUGGUCUUUCCGAACAGUACAAGAUACUCAUACUACUUUCAAGUAAGGCUUUAAUUUUUUUUUAGAGAAAAAAAAAAAAAAAAAAUUUUUAAAUAUUCAACUUUUCAAUUUGUACACAGUGUGAGACAACCACAAAGGCAAUAAAACUGCAGCACACCUGAAGUUGUGGUGCAACUGAAGGUUUGUGGUGGAACACGAUGUCGUCUGGUUCAUGGUACCAAUGAUGUAUGGACACUGGGUGUACUUGGCACUCAGGAAGCCGUUGAACACAUCAGUCAGUGCCCCAGCAUGGUGCAAGUUGUCCAGGAUGAUGACCAAGGGCAGGUCGGCACUGUUGUUCUCACACUGAUCACUAAUGUGGGACAGGUAAGCUCCCAGGUCCUUGCCAGUCUUAUGAUCAACACUAAAAAUGAAACAGAAGUUUUUAGCUACAUACUAAAUUUAUAGGUGGUUUUAUUAUAAAACAAUUUACUUAAACUACGUAGUUUUAGACAUGUCUAUAUCUAGACAAAUGUGUAGAGUGAGUGGUAGGGAAACAAGCUGAUGCAAGGUAUGUAUUAUAUUGCUUGAAGUUUCAGUUCUUCAGAAAGAACAAGUUACAAGUGGAUGGCAUGGCAAUAUAUAUACACAGAAGCAACUCAGCCUGCAGGUCCAUACUGCAGAACGGGCCAUGAUUGACAGAAGCCAUACAAGGUGAGCCUGGCUGCAUUUGUCUUGGCCCACAGUCAGGCUUAUAUUAUCCAGCUUUUGCCAAUCAUGGCCCUGCAGGCUGAGCUGCUUCUCUAUAUAUACAUGGCCAUGCCACUUGUCUAUAACUCAUUCUUUCUGAAGACAAUUGUAAAACUUAAAUGUCAAGGAAUAUAGUACAUACUUUAGCAUCAGCAUGUGUUUCCCUACUAUACACAUAUAAACUACUAGAAUUAUACUAAACAUGACAAUGAGUAUUCACUAUGAAGAAUCUUUAAAGGUGUCAUGCAGUACGUACUUGAAUGUUGCAAUAUAUCCUGGCGAUGGAUCCUUCUCCAUGCGAGUCACCAAAUACUCAGCCAAUUUCUGUGCCAAGUACGUCUUUCCUGUCCCCGAUGGUCCACAGAGGAUGAUCCUGCGGUGCUCAGUGAGAAGGGA